rnacentral:rRNA from 1 species
GGUUAAGCGACUAAGCGUACACGGUGGAUGCCCUGGCAGUCAGAGGCGAUGAAGGACGUGCUAAUCUGCGAUAAGCGUCGGUGAGGUGAUAUGAACCGUUAUAACCGGCGAUUUCCGAAUGGGGAAACCCAGUGUGUUUCGACACACUAUCAUUAACUGAAUCCAUAGGUUAAUGAGGCGAACCGGGGGAACUGAAACAUCUAAGUACCCCGAGGAAAAGAAAUCAACCGAGAUUCCCCCAGUAGCGGCGAGCGAACGGGGAGGAGCCCAGAGCCUGAAUCAGUGUGUGUGUUAGUGGAAGCGUCUGGAAAGGCGCGCGAUACAGGGUGACAGCCCCGUACACAAAAAUGCACAUAUUGUGAGCUCGAUGAGUAGGGCGGGACACGUGGUAUCCUGUCUGAAUAUGGGGGGACCAUCCUCCAAGGCUAAAUACUCCUGACUGACCGAUAGUGAACCAGUACCGUGAGGGAAAGGCGAAAAGAACCCCGGCGAGGGGAGUGAAAAAGAACCUGAAACCGUGUACGUACAAGCAGUGGGAGCCUCUUAAUGGGGUGACUGCGUACCUUUUGUAUAAUGGGUCAGCGACUUAUAUUCUGUAGCAAGGUUAACCGAAUAGGGGAGCCGAAGGGAAACCGAGUCUUAACUGGGCGUUAAGUUGCAGGGUAUAGACCCGAAACCCGGUGAUCUAGCCAUGGGCAGGUUGAAGGUUGGGUAACACUAACUGGAGGACCGAACCGACUAAUGUUGAAAAAUUAGCGGAUGACUUGUGGCUGGGGGUGAAAGGCCAAUCAAACCGGGAGAUAGCUGGUUCUCCCCGAAAGCUAUUUAGGUAGCGCCUCGUGAAUUCAUCUCCGGGGGUAGAGCACUGUUUCGGCAAGGGGGUCAUCCCGACUUACCAACCCGAUGCAAACUGCGAAUACCGGAGAAUGUUAUCACGGGAGACACACGGCGGGUGCUAACGUCCGUCGUGAAGAGGGAAACAACCCAGACCGCCAGCUAAGGUCCCAAAGUCAUGGUUAAGUGGGAAACGAUGUGGGAAGGCCCAGACAGCCAGGAUGUUGGCUUAGAAGCAGCCAUCAUUUAAAGAAAGCGUAAUAGCUCACUGGUCGAGUCGGCCUGCGCGGAAGAUGUAACGGGGCUAAACCAUGCACCGAAGCUGCGGCAGCGACACUAUGUGUUGUUGGGUAGGGGAGCGUUCUGUAAGCCUGUGAAGGUGGCCUGUGAGGGGUGCUGGAGGUAUCAGAAGUGCGAAUGCUGACAUAAGUAACGAUAAAGCGGGUGAAAAGCCCGCUCGCCGGAAGACCAAGGGUUCCUGUCCAACGUUAAUCGGGGCAGGGUGAGUCGACUCCUAAGGCGAGGCCGAAAGGCGUAGUCGAUGGGAAACAGGUUAAUAUUCCUGUACUUGGUGUUACUGCGAAGGGGGGACGGAGAAGGCUAUGUUGGCCGGGCGACGGUUGUCCCGGUUUAAGCGUGUAGGCUGGUUUUCCAGGCAAAUCCGGAAAACCAAGGCUGAGGCGUGAUGACGAGGCACUACGGUGCUGAAGUGACAAAUGCCCUGCUUCCAGGAAAAGCCUCUAAGCAUCAGGUAACAUCAAAUCGUACCCCAAACCGACACAGGUGGUCAGGUAGAGAAUACCAAGGCGCUUGAGAGAACUCGGGUGAAGGAACUAGGCAAAAUGGUGCCGUAACUUCGGGAGAAGGCACGCUGAUAUGUAGGUGAAGCGACUUGCUCGUGGAGCUGAAAUCAGUCGAAGAUACCAGCUGGCUGCAACUGUUUAUUAAAAACACAGCACUGUGCAAACACGAAAGUGGACGUAUACGGUGUGACGCCUGCCCGGUGCCGGAAGGUUAAUUGAUGGGGUUAGCGGUAACGCGAAGCUCUUGAUCGAAGCCCCGGUAAACGGCGGCCGUAACUAUAACGGUCCUAAGGUAGCGAAAUUCCUUGUCGGGUAAGUUCCGACCUGCACGAAUGGCGUAAUGAUGGCCAGGCUGUCUCCACCCGAGACUCAGUGAAAUUGAACUCGCUGUGAAGAUGCAGUGUACCCGCGGCAAGACGGAAAGACCCCGUGAACCUUUACUAUAGCUUGACACUGAACAUUGAGCCUUGAUGUGUAGGAUAGGUGGGAGGCUUUGAAGUGUGGACGCCAGUCUGCAUGGAGCCGACCUUGAAAUACCACCCUUUAAUGUUUGAUGUUCUAACGUUGGCCCGUAAUCCGGGUUGCGGACAGUGUCUGGUGGGUAGUUUGACUGGGGCGGUCUCCUCCUAAAGAGUAACGGAGGAGCACGAAGGUUGGCUAAUCCUGGUCGGACAUCAGGAGGUUAGUGCAAUGGCAUAAGCCAGCUUGACUGCGAGCGUGACGGCGCGAGCAGGUGCGAAAGCAGGUCAUAGUGAUCCGGUGGUUCUGAAUGGAAGGGCCAUCGCUCAACGGAUAAAAGGUACUCCGGGGAUAACAGGCUGAUACCGCCCAAGAGUUCAUAUCGACGGCGGUGUUUGGCACCUCGAUGUCGGCUCAUCACAUCCUGGGGCUGAAGUAGGUCCCAAGGGUAUGGCUGUUCGCCAUUUAAAGUGGUACGCGAGCUGGGUUUAGAACGUCGUGAGACAGUUCGGUCCCUAUCUGCCGUGGGCGCUGGAGAACUGAGGGGGGCUGCUCCUAGUACGAGAGGACCGGAGUGGACGCAUCACUGGUGUUCGGGUUGUCAUGCCAAUGGCACUGCCCGGUAGCUAAAUGCGGAAGAGAUAAGUGCUGAAAGCAUCUAAGCACGAAACUUGCCCCGAGAUGAGUUCUCCCUGAGACUUAGAGUCUCCUGAAGGAACGUUGAAGACGACGACGUUGAUAGGCCGGGUGUGUAAGCGCAGCGAUGCGUUGAGCUAACCGGUACUAAUGAACCGUGAGGCUUAACCUU